AGUCGAGGAUCUUCGGCAAUGGGCGAAAGCCUGACCGAGCGACGCCGCGUGGAGGAUGAAGGCCUUCGGGUUGUAAACUCCUGUCGGAGGGGAAGAAAUUUUGACUACCCCCUCGGAGGAAGCCCGGGCUAAGUUCGUGCCAGCAGCCGCGGUAACACGAACCGGGCAAACGUUAUUCGGAAUUACUGGGCUUAAAGGGUGCGUAGGCUGCGUUAUAAGUCGGGUGUGAAAUCCCUCAGCUCAACUGAGGAACUGCGCCCGAUACUGUAGUGCUUGAGGAGGAUAGAGGUGAGCGGAACUAGCAGUGGAGCGGUGAAAUGCGUUGAUAUUGCUGGGAACACCCGUGGCGAAAGCGGCUCACUGGGUCCUUUCUGACGCUGAGGCACGAAAGCUAGGGGAGCGAA
rnacentral:rRNA from 1 species